AUGAACGCUGGCGGCGUGCCUAAUACAUGCAAGUCGAGCGAACGGACGAGAAGCUUGCUUUUCUGAUGUUAGCGGCGGACGGGUGAGUAACACGUGGAUAACCUACCUAUAAGACUGGGAUAACUUCGGGAAACCGGAGCUAAUACCGGAUAAUAUUUUGAACCGCAUGGUUCAAAAGUGAAAGACGGUCUUGCUGUCACUUAUAGAUGGAUCCGCGCUGCAUUAGCUAGUUGGUAAGGUAACGGCUUACCAAGGCAACGAUGCAUAGCCGACCUGAGAGGGUGAUCGGCCACACUGGAACUGAGACACGGUCCAGACUCCUACGGGAGGCAGCAGUAGGGAAUCUUCCGCAAUGGGCGAAAGCCUGACGGAGCAACGCCGCGUGAGCGAUGAAGGUCUUCGGAUCGUAAAACUCUGUUAUUAGGGAAGAACAUAUGUGUAAGUAACUGUGCACAUCUUGACGGUACCUAAUCAGAAAGCCACGGCUAACUACGUG
rnacentral:rRNA from 1 species